ACUUUCUGCCCCAAGAGGGAUGGCUGACGGCAGACACUCACAACCAGCACAGACGCCUCCAACCUCAGACUAGGCCCUUCACAGUUGCUGCACUUACCCACCUUCCCCGAGUUUUUGUGUGGUAAUGACAACUGUAAAUAUAGUAUAAAGUAAUGUAUCUAGUGUCAUGUGUAAUACAUUGUUUAAAUUGUCCAUACAUUUCAAUGACAGUAAAUAUUGGUGGACACAA